GCUUGUCUCAAAGAUUAAGCCAUGCAUGUCUAAGUGUAAAUAAGUCUAUACUGUGAAACUGCGAAUGGCUCAUUAAAUCAGUUAUCGUUUAUUUGAUGAUCUCUUACUACUUGGAUAACCGUAGUAAUUCUAGAGCUAAUACAUGCAUGAACCCCCGACUUUUGAAGGGGUGUAUUUAUUAGAUUGAAACCAAUGCGGGUUCCCCGGUAUUUGGUGAUUCAUAAUAACUUUCGGAUCGACUUCGGUCGAUGCAUCAUUCAAGUUUCUGCCCUAUCAGCUUUGGAUGGUAGGGUAUUGGCCUACCAUGGCUUUAACGGGUAACGGAGAAUUAGGGUUCGAUUCCGGAGAGGGAGCCUGAGAAAUGGCUACCACAUCCAAGGAAGGCAGCAGG
rnacentral:rRNA from 1 species